AGUGAACGCUGGCGGCGUGCUUAACACAUGCAAGUCGAACGAGAACGGAAUAUAGCUUGCUAUAUUUGUCAGCUAAGUGGCGCACGGGAGAGUAAUGUAUAGAUAACCUGCCCUUAAGAAAGGAAUAACAGUUGGAAACGACUGCUAAUGCCCUAUAUGCCUUUAAUACAUAAGUAUGCAAGGGAAACGCUUUAGUGCUUAAGGAUGGGUCUGUAUGGUAUCAGCUUGUUGGUGAGGUAAUGGCUCAUCAAGGCUAUGACGCCUAACUGGUUUGACAGGAUGAUCAGUCACACUGGAACUGAGACACGGUCCAGACUCCUACGAGAGGCAGCAGUAGGGAAUAUUGCACAAUCACGAAAGUCUGAUGCAGCAACGCCGCAUGGUGGAUGACACAUUUCGGUGCGUAAACUCCUUUUAUAUAGGAAGAUAAUGACGGUACUAUAUGAAUAAGCACCGGCUAACUCCGUGCCAGCCGCCGCGGUAA
rnacentral:rRNA from 1 species